UACGGAGGGUGCAAGCGUUAUUCGGAAUUACUGGGCGUAAAGCGUGCGCAGGCGGUUUGUUAAGUCUGCUGUGAAAUCCCCGAGCUCAACUUGGGAAUUGCAGUGGAUACUGGCAAGCUAGAGUAUGGUAGAGGAAGGUGGAAUUCCCGGUGUAGCAGUGAAAUGCGUAGAGAUCGGGAGGAACACCAGUGGCGAAGGCGGCCUUCUGGACCAAUACUGACGCUCAUGCACGAAAGCGUGGGGAGCAAACAGG
rnacentral:rRNA from 1 species